rnacentral:rRNA from 1 species
GACGAACGCUGGCGGCGUGCUUAACACAUGCAAGUCGAACGAAGAGCGAUGGAAGCUUGCUUCUAUCAAUCUUAGUGGCGAACGGGUGAGUAACGCGUAAUCAACCUGCCCUUCAGAGGGGGACAACAGUUGGAAACGACUGCUAAUACCGCAUACGAUCUAAUCCCGGCAUCGAGGAUGGAUGAAAGGUGGCCUCUAUUUAUAAGCUAUCACUGAAGGAGGGGAUUGCGUCUGAUUAGCUAGUUGGAGGGGUAACGGCCCACCAAGGCGAUGAUCAGUAGCCGGUCUGAGAGGAUGAACGGCCACAUUGGGACUGAGACACGGCCCAGACUCCUACGGGAGGCAGCAGUGGGGAAUCUUCCGCAAUGGACGAAAGUCUGACGGAGCAACGCCGCGUGAGUGAUGACGGCCUUCGGGUUGUAAAGCUCUGUUAAUCGGGACGAAAGGCCUUCUUGCGAAUAGUUAGAAGGAUUGACGGUACCGGAAUAGAAAGCCACGGCUAACUACGUGCCAGCAGCCGCGGUAAUACGUAGGUGGCAAGCGUUGUCCGGAAUUAUUGGGCGUAAAGCGCGCGCAGGCGGAUUGGUCAGUCUGUCUUAAAAGUUCGGGGCUUAACCCCGUGAUGGGAUGGAAA